rnacentral:rRNA from 1 species
CCUAGGGAGGCAGCAGUGGGGGAUAUUGCACAAUGGGGGAAACCCUGAUGCAGCGACGCCGCGUGUGGGAAGACGGUCCUCUGGAUUGUAAACCACUGUCCCCAGGGACGAAGAUGACGGUACCUGGGGAGGAAGCUCCGGCUAACUACGUGCCAGCAGCCGCGGUAAUACGUAGGGAGCGAGCGUUGUCCGGAAUUACUGGGUGUAAAGGGAGCGUAGGCGGGACUGCAAGUUGGGUGUCAAAUCUACCGGCUCAACCGGUAGCCGCACUCAAAACUGCAGUUCUUGAGUGAAGUAGAGGCAGGCGGAAUUCCUAGUGUAGCGGUGAAAUGCGUAGAUAUCACGCAGAACUCCGAUUGCGAAGGCAGCAUACCGGCGCUCAACUGACGCUGAGGCACGAAAGCGUGGGGAUCGAACAGGAUUAGAUACCCUUGUAGUC